rnacentral:rRNA from 1 species
UACGAAGGGGGCUAGCGUUGCUCGGAAUUACUGGGCGUAAAGCGCACGUAGGCGGCUUUCUAAGUCGGGGGUGAAAUCCUGGAGCUCAACUCCAGAACUGCCUUCGAUACUGGAAAGCUCGAGUCCGGGAGAGGUGAGUGGAACUGCGAGUGUAGAGGUGAAAUUCGUAGAUAUUCGCAAGAACACCGGUGGCGAAGGCGACUCACUGGACACAUAUUGACGCUGAGGUGCGAAAGCGUGGGGAGCAAACAGG